GGAAGUAAAGGUCGUAACAAGGUCUCCGUAGGUGAACCUGCGGAGGGAUCAUUACAGAGUUCUCGCCCUCACGGGUAGAUCUCCCACCCACUGUUAUCGUUACUGUCGUUUCUUUGGCGGGCCGCCGGGUCCCCGGCCGCCGGCGCCUAGCUGCCGGCGCGCGCCCGCCAGAGGCCUUCAAACUCUGAAUGUUAGUGUCGUCUGAGUACUAUAUAAUAGUUAAAACUUUCAACAACGGAUCUCUUGGUUCUG
rnacentral:misc_RNA from 1 species